UUUGUCAUUGCAGAGGUGUUAUUUAUUGCUACGGAAACUGAGAACCAAGGGGCAGAAAGAUAACCUGGCAGAACUGGGACAGGCCUAAGAGGCAUUGCUACCCAGGCUACGCUUAGUCAUGUUUUGUUUGCUCGUGAGUAUCCGUGGUCUGAUUCUCUCUCACUCAUUGUGUGUCCAUCACAGUCCUGGUCUGUGGUGAGCACGCCAGAGGAAUACUUGGUGGAGAGGCCCAGCGAGGUCCCUAGUUCUGGGUGGGACAGGGUCUCCUCGUACACACCAAGCUGGAAGUCUAGGCAACUGAGUUUCCCGACUGUCUAGCAUUCAAAAUUCAGCUGUGGUCCAAGGG
rnacentral:lncRNA from 1 species